UGCUCCAGGAAAAGACGGCGUUCCAGCCAUCUUACUCCCCACUAGGCCUUCUGGAGUGUGGGGGCAGAGGAAGACGAGGUCACACAAGACGGUGCCUUUGCCCAUCAACCCUGGCAGGGACGGAGGCCCUGAGGAGGCAAAAAGCUGCCAGAAUCAGGAGGGGAUGCGUGGCAGGGAGCCAUAGUGAGCCUGAAAUCAAGAGGAAGCCUGGAGGGUUGUAACCCAGCCUGCCCCCAGUCUGUGCCCAAGGAUAAAGGGUAGCACAUCUUGUGGAGAGCCUGACAGACUGGCAGAGGAUAACACACUGAAAGACCAUCAUUCUUUGUUCUUUGGUUGCAAAGAGGGGGCCAGAGCCCAUGUGUGUCAUGAAAGAAACAGGCCCAAACCUGCUGUUGUGUGGGUAGGGGGCUACCCUGGGGUCCCAAGUUGGGACUACAGAAGAAAUGGGAGUGCUGUAGAUAGCAUCUAGGGAAGCUGCAUCAGCAGCCCUGGGCUGGGCACACUCAUCUAUCGGGGCCAUGAGGAAAUCAUCCCCCAUGAAGUAGGAAAACACACAUCCACACAAAAGUGCCCAGUCACAAGGGUGAAAGGUCAGAAGUUACUCAUGAAUCCACUGAUCAAUGAAUGGAUGGAUACAAUAGGUCCAUCACUAUAGGGGAAUAUUACUCAGCCAUAAACAGGAAGGCUCUCCUGAACACACCAUCUCAUGGAUGCAGCUGGAGGACACUGUGGACAGUGAAAUAGGCUAGGCAUGG